GGUGAACGCUGGCGGUGGGCCUAAUACAUGCAAGUCGAGCGAAAAGACGAUGAGCUUGCGCCUCUAACGGUGGCGGGGGGCGGGCGGGUGACACAUGGAUAAGCAACUACUUAUUCUGGGAGAACUUCGGGAGAACGGAUCCACUACUGGAGAAUAUGAUGUACCGGAGGGUGCAGUAGAGAUAGGCGCCUUGGGUGUCACAAUGAGCUGGAUCCGCGCCGGAUUAGCUAGUUGGUAAGGUAACGGCUUACCAAGGCGACGAUGCGUAGCUGACCUGAGAGGGUGAUCGGCCACACUGGAACUGAGACACGGUCCAGACUCCUACGGGAGGCAGCAGUAGGGAAUAUUGGACAAUGGGCGAAAGCCUGAUCCAGCCAUGCCGCGUGAGUGAAGAAGGUCUUCGGGUCGUAAAGCUCUGUUAUUGGGAAAGAAAAACUGCGUAUUAAUCCCCCGCCGUCCUGACGGUACCCAAACAAAAAGCACCGGCUAACUUCGUG
rnacentral:rRNA from 1 species